GCUGAAGUCUCCUCGUUCAAACUGCUGGUGAGGACACUGGACCCGCUGGGUUCCCUUCUGGGCCCAGCUGGAGCCCCGGUACUGCAGACCGCUGCGCUGCUUCCUCCACACGGUGCUGCAGGGACAGGACAGGUGAGGACAGAUGAUGGCCGAAUCUGAGGACAAACUGCGGCAUUUACAGGGAAGAACCGCCUGAGAACCGGCGGCGACCAGAACCUCCACCUUCUCAGGGCGAACAUCUGCAGCAGAAACAUCAAGUUUCCUCAGAAAACUCAUAAGAACCUGAAGGUCGGUGCACCUCGGUGUGAGGAUGAAGGUUACCUGAGAUGAAGAAGAAGAGGAAGAUCCCCCCACAGAGGAGCUCCGGUAGCCUCAUGCUUCUGUUUUGGUGGAAACGUUGAGCGUCUGUGAGUUCCUUCCUUCUGCUGCAGCGUCUGUGGUGUUUCUGGUUUUAUGAGCAGCUGUGGGCGUCUGGUGGUUCCUCGUCAUGUGACUGGAAACUGUCAGACGCUAGCAGGGAGUCCCACCUCCGCCCUCGGAUUCUCUCACCUGCUUCCUCCUGCGUCAAACUCUUCUUCUGAAACAUCUCCACGUUUGGUCUGCAGCUGUUGUUGUUCCUUCGUGAAGUUCUGAUGUUCUCCGAGCCGUUCUGGUUCCUCUUCGCAGAACUUCUGCAGGUUUCUGUGAAACCGAGCAGCUGCCGGUUAGUUAGCUGGUUAGCCUGAGGUGCUAUGAUGGAUGUUCAUGAAGGUGAAUCAUCUCCCCCUUUCUCGUUGAUCUGUUUCCUUGUCGUCAGAAAACAGAAACCUCAUUAGAAGAUUAACAUCAUUCAUUAACCUAAAUAUUACAGAUAUUUCAUCCAAUCAGAGAGCAGAGCACCAUGAAGCUCUAGAGCUCUUAUUUCAUUGAGGACCGUUGUGUUGUUGGUGCUGUUUUGUGCGUCAUUUAUUGUAAACAGAUGAAUGUGGACCACAGAGGAGAUGAAUUUUUAUUACAGUAACAGAGACAUCAACACAAAUAUAAAUGAUGAUGAAGUUUCCUAUGAAAUUCUAAAGUUGCGGACAUCAUUCACUGUGUUACAUGAACUGUUCCAGUCUUGCCCUGACAGUGGCACAUUUCCUACACACUGGCAGAAACCUGUUAUAAAACCUAUUCCUAAGCAUACAAGAAAUGACCCCAAGCUGCCUCUUAGCUAUAGGGGUAUGGGUCUAAUUAAAGCUGCAAGCAGUGUCGGUUGGGUCCUCGCAUCCUUGUGGCUCGGCUUUCCCACGUGUGUCCACGAGCUGACACUGCAACUGAGAGUGUAUUUCGGCCUAUGGAUGUGAUUAUGACUGGAUUCUGAUCACAAAUGUAAAGUCUGAGGCAGAUUGGAGCAUGUAGAGGGUAGUUAGACAGCACUUCCUGUUUGACGGUGAAACAUCCACAAUGGCCACAUUCCGCUGGUCACGAUUUCUACGCCUUCAGAUUUUUGCUGAGCAAUUUGAUAACUUUUGAUCACCCAUGACUGGUGUACAUCCUGGACAAAUUUCAGCUCUCUCGGGGUUAGCCUGCUUGAGUUUAUAGCUUUUGAAAAUGUACAAAAAUGACAAAAAAAUGUCCAAAGAAUCAGAGAAUCACAAAAAAACAUUUAAUUGGGACAUCUCCAACGGUCAACCCUGGGCUAAUGAGCUAAAAAUCUGUAUUUCAUUUGAACAACUCAUCAUUUAUUUGUGAUAACAGGUUAUUCUGUGAUAUUCAGGUGAUGAGGAGGAAUAUGUUCCUUAGGCUUAGAGAAAAAUGGUCUGUUGAUAUUUAGUAUAAACCAAAAUUACAAACUUAUUGUCUUAUAAAGGACAGAUACGGUGUGGAACCUGAGUGCACGGCAACACUCAGGAAGCAUUAGCUUUAGAGACUGGGAGGUUUAUUGCUGCUCCAGAGAACGGCACACUUUGUUUGAUGUGUUAUUUUAUGUUUUACUGUUCUCUAUAUGAGGAUAUCAGGGAGGUACAUUACAGUAGGAUGUCCUGUGUUUAUUUUGAUUUCUCUUGGUUGGAUGGCCAUGAAAACUAGAGUUAUGUUUAGAAGGGGAACCUUUUCAUGGCAGAAUUUCUUUGCCAGGCAACAUGUUUAGUUUGAGAACUGAGCAGCAGAAUAAUGUGUGUUUUGGAUGUAUUACUGCAAUGCUAGCAUACUGGUGUCUUGUAAACCCAUGAGGAUUGGGCACACUUCUGUGCAUGAUGCGAAAAUAAAGAAAUCAUAUCAUAUCAUAUAUAAAACAAGAAAAACAAAACACAGAAUGACUCCAAAGAGACAAAAAACCAACGCUUUAAUCCUGCUAAAUAAAGUAUUUUAUAUCUAAAAUCUGAGAUUUAGAUACUAAUAAUUCUGUGUUCAUUUAAUUAAAAAAAUCAUCAAGAGAAUAAAUAUUUUACAGUUUAAACCUGCUUUUUUCCUUUACAUAGUUUGUCUGUUUGUUGUUAAUUUAACUGUAAAACUUUCAGAAUUAAGUGAAAAGCAGCAAAACUUCACAUUCAAGGAGCUCAACUUGAUGAAUAUUUCAUCGAUUUUACAUAUAUUUACAUAAUUAGUCUGAUAAAUGACUCAGACUUUCAGAGUUUUUAGCCCACGGUAGAUUUUCCAGACCAUUAACAUGCCACUGUACCACUGAGUUAAAACGCAGAUUAAACGUAUUCAUUUUCA